AUGAACGCUAGCUACAGGCUUAACACAUGCAAGUCGAGGGGCAGCAUGUGGUUGCUUGCAACCAAUGAUGGCGACCGGCGCACGGGUGAGUAACGCGUAUCCAACCUUCCCCUUAGUAGAGGAUAGCCCGGCGAAAGUCGGAUUAAUACUCUAUGUUCUUCAAUGCGGACAUCUAAGUUGAAGCAAAGAUUUAUCGCUAAGGGAUGGGGAUGCGUCUGAUUAGGUUGCAGGCGGGGUAACGGCCCACCUGGCCUACGAUCAGUAGGGGUUCUGAGAGGAAGGUCCCCCACACUGGUACUGAGACACGGACCAGACUCCUACGGGAGGCAGCAGUGAGGAAUAUUGGUCAAUGGGCGCGAGCCUGAACCAGCCAAGUAGCGUGCAGGACGACUGCCCUAUGGGUUGUAAACUGCUUUUAUCAGGGAAUAAAGUGAGGCACGCGUGCCUUUUUGUAUGUACCUGAUGAACAAGGACCGGCUAAUUCCGUGCCAGCCGCGGC
rnacentral:rRNA from 1 species